AGUGAACGCUGUCGGUAGGCCUAACACAUGCAAGUCGAACGGCAGCACAGUAAGAGCUUGCUCUUACGGGUGGCGAGUGGCGGACGGGUGAGGAAUACAUCGGAAUCUACUUUUUCGUGGGGGAUAACGUAGGGAAACUUACGCUAAUACCGCAUACGACCUACGGGUGAAAGCAGGGGAUCUUCGGACCUUGCGCGAUUGAAUGAGCCGAUGUCGGAUUAGCUAGUUGGCGGGGUAAAGACCCACCAAGGCGACGAUCCGUAGCUGGUCUGAGAGGAUGAUCAGCCACACUGGAACUGAGACACGGUCCAGACUCCUACGGGAGGCAGCAGUGGGGAAUAUUGGACAAUGGGCGCAAGCCUGAUCCAGCCAUACCGCGUGGGUGAAGAAGGCCUUCGGGUUGUAAAGCCCUUUUGUUGGGAAAGAAAAGCAGCAGGUUAAUACCCCGCUGUUCUGACGGUACCCAAAGAAUAAGCACCGGCUAACUUCGUG
rnacentral:rRNA from 1 species